rnacentral:rRNA from 1 species
ACUACAAUGGCCAUCACAGAGAGAAGCGAGACCGCGAGGUGGAGCAAAACUCAGAAAAAUGGUCUCAGUUCGGAUUGGAGGCUGCAACUCGCCUCCAUGAAGCCGGAAUUGCUAGUAAUCGCAGAUCAGCAUGCUGCGGUGAAUACGUUCCCGGGCCUUGUACACACCGCCCGUCACACCAUGAGAGCCGGGGGGACCCGAAGUCGGUAGUCUAACCGCAAGGAGGACGCCGCCGAAGGUAAAACUGGUAAUUAGGGUGAAGUCGUAACAAGGUAACCAAGGGCGAAUUCCAG